rnacentral:rRNA from 1 species
UACGUAGGUGGCAAGCGUUGUCCGGAUUUACUGGGCGUAAAGAGCGCGCAGGCGGUCGUUUAAGUCGAAUGUGAAAGCCCCCGGCUCAACUGGGGAGGUCAUUCGAUACUGAUCGACUUGAAGGCAGGAGAGAGAAGUGGAAUUCCCGGUGUAGUGGUGAAUGCGUAGAUAUCGGGAGGAACACCAGUGGCGAAGGCGACUCACUGGACACAUAUUGCGCUGAGGUGCGAAAGCGUGGGGAG